UACGUAGGGUGCGAGCGUUGUCCGGAAUUAUUGGGCGUAAAGAGCUCGUAGGCGGUGUGUCACGUCGGCCGUGAAAACCUGCAGCUUAACUGUGGGCGUGCGGUCGAUACGGGCAUCACUGGAGUUCGGCAGGGGAGACUGGAAUUCCUGGUGUAGCGGUGGAAUGCGCAGAUAUCGGGAGGAACACCAGUGGCGAAGGCGACUACCUGGCCUGUUCUUGACGCUGAGGCGCGAAAGCUAGGGGAGCAAACGGG
rnacentral:rRNA from 1 species